rnacentral:lncRNA from 1 species
UUGAUCUUUAAAUCCUCCAAUACCUUGCCAAUUUUCACCUUAAUUUGACUGGUAGAUCUUUAUAUAUCAUAGAAACCCUACCCAACCUCAAACUGCCACCUUCUAAAAUCCUCAUGUACUAAAAACUAGAUAUCUCUAAAUCGCGCUGUUGGAUUCUCACAAAAUUAUGUAUACAAUCAGCACACCCAAAAAUCAAAAUAAUACCAAAUUUUCAACUGUAGAUGUUAUGCCAAUUGCACAAACUAGCCAAAAUUGCUAGCUCUAAUUAUAUUAUAUAAAUCCAAAUCACUGAUACAAACCUUGACUUUGAACAACAAUUGCUAAGUCUUUCAAAAUCCUCUCAAAACAACUCUUAUGUCUCUAGAAAGAACUUCAAGCUAGCUCUCAAAUCAUAACCUGUGAUCUUUGAAUGAAAUCCUAUUUUUUCCUAGGUCGUUGAUGUAGUAGACAAAGGUUUGAUUUUGACCCUAUCUCACAAACGGUUGACC